AGCGAACGCUGGCGGCAGGCUUAACACAUGCAAGUCGAGCGGGCGUAGCAAUACGUCAGCGGCAGACGGGUGAGUAACGCGUGGGAACAUACCUUUUGGUUCGGAACAACACAGGGAAACUUGUGCUAAUACCGGAUAAGCCCUUACGGGGAAAGAUUUAUCGCCGAAAGAUUGGCCCGCGUCUGAUUAGCUAGUUGGUGAGGUAACGGCUCACCAAGGCGACGAUCAGUAGCNGGUCUGAGAGGAUGAUCAGCCACAUUGGGACUGAGACACGGCCCAAACUCCUACGGGAGGCAGCAGUAGGGAAUCUUGCGCAAUGGGCGAAAGCCUGACGCAGCCAUGCCGCGUGAAUGAUGAAGGUCUUAGGAUUGUAAAAUUCUUUCACCGGGGGAAGAUAAUGACGGUACCCGGAGAGAAGCCCCGGCUAACUUCGUGCCAGCAGCCGCGGUAAU
rnacentral:rRNA from 1 species